AGGUCAAGCUACAAAGGGCGCACGGAGGAUGCCUUGGCACCAGGAGCCUAAGAAGGAC
rnacentral:rRNA from 1 species